CAAUGAACUUUCAACAAACAUGAAUACUAAUUACUUAAAGACAUUUAAAAAUAAUUCCAAUUUUAUAAAAGGCCUCAAAUUUUUUUAUCAGAAGUUAAUAAAGCUUGAAAUUUUUAUUUAUAAAGUGGUCAAAAAAUAAUCUAUUUAUUUCACGUAAAUGAUGAAAAAUAUGGUUCAAAUUCUCAUAUUUGUUUAUGUUUUGAGUAUUUUGCUUUCUCCAUUUCUUGUUAAAAUCAGGGCUGAUGUUAUUCCCUGCGUUUCUCACUUUGAUUGUCCAGAGGAGUCUCCCCCAAAAAUGAGAUGCAUUGAUAACUAUUGUCACUACGUGUUAGACUAACAAUUACAUCUAAACAUUAUAAACUACAAAUAAAAUUAAGGUCAGGCUAACGAGUGCCCCAGAGGCACUGGUUAAGAGUUUAAAAAUGAUAUGUUUUUGUUAUUAAUAUUUGUAUUCAUUGUAUUAAAAAUAGAAAUAAUUGACUUCUUUUAAGUAACAAAAUUUAUGUUUUAUUAAAAAUAUUUGUAUUUAAUGAAUUGAAAAUUGAAGUGAUUAAUUUAUUUAGAUAAUAUUUUAUUUAUUUGGAAAUCUUAAAGAGUGCCCCGGAGACACUCGUUAGCAUGACCCAUAAAAUUAUUUGUAGUUUAUAAUGUUUGUAUUUUGGAUAGUUGAUAUACCUCAAUUAUUACUUGUGAGUUGAGUUUAAUGAGUAUAAAUGAUAAAUUUAAAGUUUAAUCUUUAAUAAUCCUCCAAUAUAAAAAAGAAAGAUGAGUUUUUUGGCAAGUUUGCCAAGUGUCAUCUUCUUAAAAGUCUUACCAUUUAAAAACUUGCUAUUAAUAAUAAUCUUACUAUAAUUAACUUUAAUUAUUAUAUUCUUAUUUAAUUAAUUAUUUCAUUAAUUUCUAAUCACUAUUUUUUAUUAUUUAUUAUUGAUAAUCUAACUGAUUCAAAACAUUUAUUGGAAAAAGCAUAAAUCUAAUUAAAAAAAUUGUUGGAAAAAGCAAUCGAAUUAGUUGCCAUGUAUUAAGUAAAGAAAAUAUUUUAUUUAUAAACGUUAUGUUAGUGGAGACAUCUAUAUAUUAUUAUUAUUAAAUUUUUAUACCUGGUAAAUUAUAUAAAUGGAAAGCUCAAUCAAUUCAGUUUCAAAUCAUUAUUAUUAUUAUUAUUAUUAUUAUUAUUAUCUCUUUCUCUUAAAAAGUCAUUAUGUAUCCUCUUUUUUAUCUCAACCAUUUAUUUCAUUUUCUUCCCAAUAGAUAGGAUGUAAUUUGGAAUUAUUAUAAUAAAUUUUGAUUUUUUUCAUCUUCCUUCAACAACCUUCAAGCUUCCUUCAAGCUUCUAUUUUCAUCUCACUCUUAUCACUGCCAAACACUCUCAUGUUUCUACCCUCGCCGCUGCCAAUAACAACCUUCGACUACGACUGGUGAUGCAGGGUGAAAUUGGAAACCAUCUGAAACCCAGGGCUGUUCCGCCACCGUAUUUCCGUAAUGUUUUGUUUCGAGCAGGAAAAGAUCCGCAGGAAAUCUUCUCCAUUUUUUCUCUCUACAAUGCGUUUCUGAUUCUUUCUUCUCCAUUUUAUUUGCUGGUGUUUCUAAACUUUUAGUUUUCAAGGUUUUUCAAUUUGUUGCUCUUUGAUUUCUAUCAAGAGGAUAAAACCUAUUGUGAUAUUUAUUUUUAACCACUGGAUAAAACCUUACUAUGAUUUGCAGGAAAUUGAGGAAAUUUGUAGAAUUUAAAAAGACUACUCUAAAAUCUCCCCUGAAAGUCGUGCAUGGUGAUGAAUUUUGGGGUCCUGAGAGGAGUUUUCGUCAGGGUAUUUGGCCCAUAAGGUGAAAUUUUUUGCCUUAUUGAUGUGUUAUAUCUUUAAUCUUAGUCUUAUAUUGACUUGAAUUGGUUGUUCUUAAAAGGAGUAUUGGGGAGUCCCGUCUUCGCCUUAUUUGCCUGUCUUGGAUAUUGACUUGAUUAUUCUCCUCCCUAUCAUGUAGGUUUCUUUCUUAAUCAACAUAUCAUGGUUGAGGACAUAAUCAAACAUGAAACUGAUAUUUUCUUUCUUUCUUGAUCAAAUUGAUAUUUUCUUCUUGAUUAACACUAUUGCUUUGUAUUGUUAACUACUACUACGUUGUUGGAUAGACAUAAAAAAUAUUGAUUGUGGUUUUAGAACAUGUCUCUGACAUCAAGAUUUAUUGACUAUAGUCAAGUUGGUGUCUAAAUGAAUACAAGUGAAGUAUGAGAGCUGCUGGUGUUGGAUUAACUCUUGAUUUGGAGCAUCAUUACCAAGAAUAUAUGUGUAGAACGAACGUGAUGAGGCUGAAGACAUUAGCUGGUGUUAGUUUGAUUGCAACUUUAGGUAUUCCAUAUCAUGCAUUUAAUAGUAGAGGACAAUUUUAUCCAGCAAUGGUGUCAUUCUGCCUCAAUUCCCUUUAACACUAAUAUGGUACCAUUUUGCCUCAUGUUUUGCUAUGCAGCCAGCUUAUGAUUAUGCGUUUUACUAUAUUGCUUGGAAAU